rnacentral:lncRNA from 1 species
CCUGGGGGUGCUGGACACCCCACUUUCCUUUUCUAUGGACCCCUCCCUCCUGGUGACUCAUUCUCUAUUUAUUCUUGUCCAGAAGAGGUCCUUGUCCAAGGGCCCAAGACAGAGCAGCAGGCCACGGACACCAGUUAGACUUCCCCGGGAGUCCUCAAGCCUCCUUGAGAGGCAGGUGGCCUGAAUCUCCAUGGUGAUUGUGUCCUUCAUGCAGGACCCUCGGCAGCAUUGCCUAUCUCUGGGCCUUGGUUUCCCAUCUGUACCCAGAGGCUCUGUAGAAGCGCUCUGGGAUGUUCUUUCUACUGAGGAAGGUGAAGCCAGCAGCCCACCUCUGGACACUGCAGAGCUGGGGCCCCUCUUCCUAGAGACCCAAGGCUGCUCCUGCCCCAAAAUCCUCCAGCUGCUCUGGGGGCCCAGAAUGGAGCCUUCUCCAGAAGCUGAGCAGAGCAGUUGUGCUCCCUGAGCCCCUAGCCAAGGACCCAGUCCUGGGCUGGAGGUUCACCUGCCUGGAUCCCAAACAGCACCCCAGCUGAGGCUGGGGCUUCCAAACAGCAACCUUCGGUCAGCUGGAUGCACCCAGAGCUCAGAGCAGCGUCCCAGGACUGAGUCUGAGACCCUGCUGAUGUUGCAGCCAGUGGGGAGAAAAGCAGCUGGAAACUCUUGGCUGUGCCGGCAUCGCAGAAUCUAGGUACCACUGCCCCCUUGUGGUGAUCUAGGAAUUCUCUGUGACUUGUCACCCAUGUCAGGACUCAGAGCGAGUCCCUGAACCAAAGAUGGAGAAAGCAAGUCUCAAGGGAGUACUGCCAGGAAAUGGAGAAGAAAAGACCAGAUUUAGUGUCUGGGGCAAGGCGUGUACGAGAUGAGAAAGAGAACACAGUACUGGAGGUCUCCUGACGCUGAAUACCCAUCACCUGUAAAAGUAGGGUUAUCAAAAAAACAAAAUAAAUCUGAUUGAGCCCCUAGAUCUAAUUACGCAGCAAUACACAGGAAAUUCAGAGAGGGGAACAUGUCGUCUACAAUGUGGGGUGCACUUGGCAGUGACUAUGGGAAAUCCUUUCAGACAAAUGAUCUGGUUUCAGUAAAAAAUGAAUUAUAGGAAAAAAAAAA